rnacentral:rRNA from 1 species
GAUAAACGCUGGCGGCGUGCUUAACACAUGCAAGUCGAACGGGAUCCAAGAAGUGCUUGCACUUUUUGGUGAGAGUGGCGAACGGGUGAGUAACACGUGAGUAACCUGUCCUUUUCUUUGGGAUAAGCUUCCGAAAGGGUGUUUAAUACCUUAUGUUCUGUCUGCCUCGCAUGGGGUGGGUGGGAAAGAUUUUUUCGGUAAAGGGUGGGCUCGCGGUCUAUCAGCUUGUUGGUGGGGUGAUGGCCUACCAAGGCUUUGACGGGUAGCCGGCCUGAGAGGGUGGUCGGUCACAUUGGGACUGAGAUACGGCCCAGACUCCUGCGGGAGGCAGCAGUGGGGGAUAUUGCACAAUGGGCGAAAGCCUGAUGCAGCGACGCCGCGUGGGGGAUGAAGGCCUUCGGGUUGUAAACUUCUUUUGCUCUGAACAAGGCGCACCGUGGGGUGUGUUGAGUGUAGGGGUUGAUUAGCGCCGGCUAACUACGUGCCAGCAGCCGCGGUAAUACGUAGGGCGCGAGCGUUGUCCGGAAUUAUUGGGCGUAAAGGGCUUGUAGGUGGCUGGUUGCGUCUGUCGUGAAAGCUCAUGGCUUAACUGUGGGUUUGCGGUGGGUACGGGCUGGCUUGAGUGCAGUAGGGGAGGCUGGAAUUCCUGGUGUAGCGGUGGAAUGCGCAGAUAUCAGGAGGAAUACCGGUGGCGAAGGCGGGUCUCUGGGCUGUUACUGACACUGAGGAGCGAAAGCAUGGGGAGCGAACAGG